GAUGAACGCUGGCGGCGUGCCUAAUACAUGCAAGUCGAGCGAACGGACGAGAAGCUUGCUUCUCUGUUGUUAGCGGCGGACGGGUGAGUAACACGUGGAUAACCCACCUAUAAGACUGGGAUAACUUCGGGAAACCGGAGCUAAUACCGGAUAAUAUUUUGAACCGCAUGGUUCAAAAGUGAAAGACGGUCUUGCUGUCACUUAUAGAUGGAUCCGCGCUGCAUUAGCUAGUUGGUAAGGUAACGGCUUACCAAGGCAACGAUGCAUAGCCGACCUGAGAGGGUGAUCGGCCACACUGGAACUGAGACACGGUCCAGACUCCUACGGGAGGCAGCAGUAGGGAAUCUUCCGCAAUGGGCGAAAGCCUGACGGAGCAACGCCGCGUGAGUGAUGAAGGUCUUCGGAUCGUAAAACUCUGUUAUUAGGGAAGAACAUAUGUGUAAGUAACUGUGCACAUCUUGACGGUACCUAAUCAGAAAGCCACGGCUAACUACGUG
rnacentral:rRNA from 1 species